CUCCAACCAGAGGUGACAGUCACUGCUCCAGAGAGAUCCUCAGCUGGAGGGGAGGCCUGAAUCCCCGAAGACAGAAUGGAACAAGGAUGGAUGACGGGUUAGGUCCAGAAUGCCAAGUGCACGCGGCUUACCAGCGCAGAGGUGCAGACCCAGCCGCCAGAUCUGUUCUGUGUGACCCACUGGCCAUGGUUGACCGGACUGGGUUGGACCAGAGUCCUGGGCGCUGUGGGGUCAGCUGCCAUCUACCCCGUGAGAGAAGCCAGCAUUCAGACAGAGUGUUUGGGUGGAGAAGAAUGUGGCCUACGCAGCGAAGUCACCACCAGCAGAAGCAGCCACCAGAGAAAGAGAGCAGGUUCUGGAGGUGGGGGCCUCCAUGGUUCCAUCUCAAGCCUGCAGCCCAGUUUGGCAUGGCGCAUUGCAGGUGGAGUCCAGCCCUGCUGGGUGGCUAAGGAUAAAGACUUCCGGCCAGCAAACCUCCUUCUCUCCCGGUGGGAGCUCCAGGAUUCCUCCUGGGUGGAAGCGACUGUAGGAGGAGGUUGCUGGGUGAGAUUCUGAAGGGUCCUUUAUCCCCCUCCAUCUGCUCAACCACCCAGUGAGGAGGGCACCUCCCCAUUUCAGAGAUGGGGAGACGGAAGCUGGAGGUGCUAUGGGAGCUGGCCUUGGUCAUAGGAUUGCUGGGACCGUCCAAUCCCAAAGCCUUUGCUUUCACUCAUUGCAACAUAUCGAUUAAUUUAGCCAAUAACAAAACACCUAACUUUGGUCUAUUCAGGCUUGAUGGAUACAAAUGAUCUAGUUCAGAGAGAAAAUUCUGUUGCUCUUCACCAGAGGAAAUAUUAUUGAGAAAAGCAUGAACGUGAAAGGUGUGACCAUCAGUUAACUGAGAAACCAUACUCUUUCCUUGAUAAUUCAAUAGGUGUUUUUUUUAAAAUCUAUACUAGCACUUCCGACUCCAUGCAAGCCUGUUAAUUUAGCGGAGCAAUUGCUGUCUCUCAUUUAAAACCAUUUGUCUCAAACCGGAGCACUUAAGACUCCACACCAUUCAAUUCCCAUUAAACGUGUUUUUGAAAAUACGAGAAGCUCGGAGAACUCGAAUAUUAACAUUUGAAUGCUCCGCGAAAAGUGAGACGCACACCGGCACACUUUCAAUUACAGAAUGUCACACUGGGAAAUAGAUGGAGGUGACAUUUCCAUGGCCCGCAGUUGAAACUGACCUUAUAAGGAAACCUGAUCUCCAUCAGACAUUAAUUCUGAGCACGACAGAGUUCUAACAACCAGAAGAGUUAAUGUCACUUGUUCACUUUCUCUAGCCCACUAAUUCAAUCAACAGAAAUUAAUUAGGCUCCUGUUAGAAGCAAGGCACUGCAUUAUUUAGGUGCAGGAGAAACGAAGACGGAUAAAACACCCCUCUCUUUCUGAAGCUCGUUAAUUUAGUGGCGGAGGAAUGAGGGGGAGAAAAUGGGAGCUCUACUGCACUAGGCCGCUUUACCCAUCAUGUCAAUAAAUUCUUAAAAUAACCUGGCAAGGUAAGUAUAUAAAGAUUUUCCAGUUCACCGUCAACAACUGCUUCUGUAUAAGACAGGAUGCAAUCAGGACUUUCGUGGGCCUGAGCAAGGUGCCACGGGAACACAGAGAGAUGAAUUCUGGUGGCGGUUAGGAUGCUAAUGAGGCGUCACCUGAGCUGCACCUUGAGGGGCUGGGAGGUUUCAGAAGCCAAAGAAGAAAGGAGAGGCAAGACCUGAGCAAAUGCUCCGGGGCGUGAGAGGCCUGGAACGGGCAAGGAUUUGGGGGCACAGAGAGAGGGGCUGGGACCUGAAAUCACAGAGCGGUGGAAGGGAAGAUGAGCGGCAGGACCAGCUGGAGCUGACUGCCUGCUGAUAGGACCCUCUGGAGACCCUCUCAAGGGGGAGGGAGCCCAGCUCUCCAGUCUUAUCCAGAAGGGUCCUGCUCAGCCAGGUCUCCACGUUGGGGGUGGGGAUGCACUCGGCAUGUCAGUGAGAUGCUGGGGUCACUGUGGGCUGGGGAGGGGCUCACAAGGUAUGUUGGAGGGCACUGAGUGGGGUGGGUGUUGAUAGGGAGGAAGAAGUCAGGGCCUGGCUCCUAAACUUGCAGUCUUAGAGUUAGCAUGGCCUUUAAGAAUUAUGGGUUCCUCAAAAAGUCAAACACAGAAUUACCAUGUGGCCCAGCAAAUCCACUCCUAAGUAUAUACGGUCACGCACCGCACAACGACAUUUUGGUCAAUCACAGACCACACAUAUGAUGGUGGCCCCGUAAGAUUAGUCCCACAGAGCCUAGGGGUGUAGCGGGCUGUACCAUCUGGGCUUGUGUAAGGGCACUCUUUGAUAUUUGCACAACGAUGAAAUUGCCCAAUGACGCAUUUCUCAGAACGUGUCCCUGUCGUUAAGUGACGCAUGACUGUGCUCAAAAGAAGAGAAAACAGGAACUCAAACGAAUACACGUACAUUCAGAGCAGCGCUACACACAAGCGCCAAAAGGUGGAAACCACCCAGAGUCUCCAUCGACCCAUGAACGGAUCAACAAAACGUGGUCUACUCACACAAAGGAGUGUUAUUCUGCCAUGAAAAGGAAUGAAGGGCUGACACAGGCUACAACACGGAUGAACUCAAAAACAGAAGGCCACCUAUUGUACGAUUCCAUUUAUAUGAAACUUCAAGAAUACGUAAAGCCGAAGAGAUGGAAAGCAGAUUAGUGGUUGUCAGAAGUGAGAAGGAUAGUGGGCCAGACUCCUCAGUGGUUCGGGGUGACGAAAAGCUUCUGGAACGAGACAGUGGUGAUGGCUGCACAAUAUUGUGAAUGGACUAAAAGGCACUGAAUUGUUCACUUAAAAUGGUUAAUGGUUCAUUUUGUUCAGUGAGUUUGACCUAAAUAAAAAAAUAAAAAUAGGAAAGAAU